rnacentral:rRNA from 1 species
GGAGCAGGAGUAAAAAACUGUUGGGUUAGGUGAAGUGGCUUGGGAUGGCCUGCCGUAGAGGGUGAGAGCCCCGUAAUUGAAAACCUGUCAGCUCCUGUGAUGUGUCCCCGAGUAGCAGCGGGCCCGUGAAAUCUGCUGUGAAUCUGCCGGGACCACCCGGUAAGCCUGAAUACUUCCCAGUGACCGAUAGCGGAUUAGUACCGUGAGGGAAUGGUGAAAAGUACCCCGGGAGGGGAGUGAAAUAGUACCUGAAACCGUGCGCUUACAAUCCGUCAGAGCCUUCGUGUUAAAGCGUGGGGUGAUGGCGUGCCUUUUGAAGAAUGAGCCUGCGAGUCAGGGACAUGUCGCGAGGUUAACCCGUGUGGGGUAGCCGUAGCGAAAGCGAGUCUGAAUAGGGCGUAUCCAAUCCAGAGGGGUUGGUGUAGUGGUGUGUUCUGGACCCGAAGCGGAGUGAUCUACCCAUGGCCAGGGUGAAGCGCGGGUAAGACCGCGUGGAGGCCCGAACCCACUUAGGUUGAAGACUGAGGGGAUGAGUUGUGGGUAGGGGUGAAAGGCCAAUCAAACUCCGUGAUAGCUGGUUCUCCCCGAAAUGCA